rnacentral:rRNA from 1 species
CUGGUAGUGGGGGACAACGUUUCGAAAGGAACGCUAAUACCGCAUACGUCCUACGGGAGAAAGCAGGGGACCUUCGGGCCUUGCGCUAUCAGAUGAGCCUAGGUCGGAUUAGCUAGUUGGUGAGGUAAUGGCUCACCAAGGCGACGAUCCGUAACUGGUCUGAGAGGAUGAUCAGUCACACUGGAACUGAGACACGGUCCAGACUCCUACGGGAGGCAGCAGUG